rnacentral:tRNA from 2 species
AGGGAUAUGCUGGAAAGGUAUACAGGCUUCAUUUAGGUUGAAGUGCAAUGUGACAUAUAAGUUCAAAUCUUAUUAUCCUUA